rnacentral:rRNA from 1 species
UAGGGAAUCUUCGGCAAUGGGGGGAACCCUGAUCGAGCAACGCCGCGUGAGUGAAGAAGGCUUUCGGAUCGUAAAGCUCUGUUGUUAAGGAAGAACGAGUGUGAGAAUGGAAAGUUCAUACUGUGACGGUACUUAACCAGAAAGGGACGGCUAACUACGUGCCAGCAGCGGCGGUAAUACGGAGGUCCCGAGCGUUGUCCGGAUUUAUUGGGCGUAAAGCGAGCGCAGGCGGUUAGAUAAGUCUGAGGUUAAAGGCGGUGGCUCAACCAUUGUAGGCUUUGGAAACUGUUUAACUUGAGUGCAGAAGGGGAGAGUGGAAUUCCAUGUGUAGCGGUGAAAUGCGUAGAUAGAUGGAGGAACACCGGUGGCGAAAGCGGCUCUCUGGUCUGUUACUGACGCUGAGGCUCGAAAGCGUGGGGAGCGAACAGG